rnacentral:rRNA from 1 species
AGCAGCCGCGGUAAUUCCAGCUCCAAUAGCGUAUAUUAAAGUUGUUGCAGUUAAAAAGCUCGUAGUUGAAUUUCGGAAUCAGUAUGUCGGUCGUGCCUUCGGUAUGUACUGGUGUCACUGAUUCCUCCCUUCUGACGAACCAUCAUGCCAUUCACUUGGUGUGGUGGGAAAUCAGGACUGUUACUUUGAAAAAAUUAGAGUGUUUAAAGCAGGCUCGCGCUUGAAUACAUUAGCAUGGAAUAAUGAAAUAGGACGUUCGAUCUUAUUUUGUUGGUUUCUAGGAUUGACGUAAUGAUUAAUAGGGAUAGUUGGGGGCAUUAGUAUUCAAUUGUCAGAGGUGAAAUUCUUGGAUUUAU